rnacentral:lncRNA from 1 species
CCUUCUCAUAACUUUAAACAUAUACGAACAUAACGUAUAAACUGAGAUAUGUAAACACCAUAUGAAGGGACAGAGGAUAUGUUAUGGUUGGGAAAUAGGGGACUGAUAAUUUGGAAGUUUAAAUCGUCCCGUUUGUCAUAUAAUACGACACAGAAACAUUAAUAUUGCCAACAACAUCAAGUUUACAAUCAGGUUCUAUGGGGCCACGGAAAGUCAAUAUACAUACGUGGCAUCAAUCGGGUCACUUAUGCAAAGUAACCAUUCGAUAAUGAGUUGAAUUCGGUAAUGUUACAAACGUAAACAACAAACACUUGAUAAAUUUAAUGCAUACGAUGCGCUUUGUUGAAUUUGAUCUUCAAGGUCGCUCAUAGCUAAAUAUUUGGAUGUAUUUAUAUUAGAGGUGACAAUAAAUAAAUCAAUAUUGUAUUAUUAUUCAAAGGAAUAUUUUGUAGUUGUUAUUUAAUUUAAUGGUGAACGCGAGUGCAACUAAAUAUCUUAACAUCGCGCAAUUUUGCAUUAUUAUCGUCGACGUCUUGUUUAUGUCGGGUACAAAAAGGAGUUCCGUUUAUGACAUUGAUAAAAAAAACAAUAACUUCAAGAGCUACUAAAUAUAAUGGUAACCUCGCCCAAUUAUGUUAACGUAUUCAUUAAUAUGCAAAUCGUACAAGAAUUAUCUCUUCAGAUAUGUCAGUAUGAGUAUUAUAAGUAUAGUGUAGUUUUGCACUGUUCAAAUUCCAUGAAAUCGAUUAAGAAGACAAAUCAAAGUCAAUGUCGCAAAAUUUUGACCACCAACUAAGCUUGCUAUUGAAAAGAAGAAUGCGAUUUCUCGCUAAUGUGUAUAUCGAUAACCAAAAACUAUUUGCGAAAAAUAAAACAAACAUGCACCACAUUAUGACUAUGAAGAGAUCAUGAUUUAAAACAUUUGCAUUAUACAAGUAUCAGAAAAAAA